CCUUAGAAGUAUCCAUUGGGCCAGCUGGGGCACCCUCUAGAGUGCCAUGUUCAUGCCAAGUUAUAUCAGGUGCCACCGGCCCUACGGCCUCUCAGUUCCUUCUUGCAAACAACUCCGACAAAGGGGCAGGAGGGCAGGUAACGGAAUGGACAUGAGCAAUACAUCUCGAAGAACAACAGUUACAGAAGGUAGGUAACUGUUUUUUCCUUCUUUGAGUGCUUGCUCAUGUCGAUUCCAUUUUUGGUGACUCACAAACAGUAUCUAUGGAGAUGGGCUCAGAGUUCACUGCUUGGUGGCUUGCAGUACUGCUCUAUCAAAACCAACAUCACCCCGGGCCUGCUGGAAGGCCAGAGCCCUCCUGACAUCCAGGGCAUGUAGCCUGUGUUCCUCCUCCAACUUACGCAGCUUUGGAAAGAAGACCGGAGAUCAUGUAAGGCGGCACCGAGGUGAGCGCCCGAAUCUCAGAUAAUCAGCAGGCCGAUGUGACCGUGACCAGGAACGUGACCUUCCAGGAGAGGAGAAGGAGACAGGAGGGAGUCAAAGGUUCAAAGGAGGGACCGUGAGCUGUGACAGCACCAGAUUCUCGUCCCACGGAGGACCAGGAUCCCUGACAUCACCAAGGAGCCCCAGUCAUGGACCAAGACCUCAUUGUGCUAGGCCCUGUACAAACAGAAAACAAUUUACAAGAAGAAUUUACAAGAAGUCCCACUGAAACUAAUGAGGCUACUUGUGGAGUAAGGUACCACAGAACAUGAGCAAGGUUAUUGGAAUCUGGUACUUGUUGAAUGGGCAUGUUUUUUUACCAGCAAUAACCAUUGCCUGGAAAGGGGGCAGCAGAAAUUCUACUGAAGAGGAAGGACACUUUUUCUGAGAAAGACUUCAGAGUGAAAGAGCAAUGCUUUGAUGGUCACUCAAGAAAUGAACAUGGCUUUAGCCCUUGAGAAUAAAGGGCUCAUCCAAGGUUCCUAAAAAUAAGAAGCAUGAUUCCAUUUCCCUCCCAUGCCUAAUUGUCGUAUUCUGUUUAAAUAAAUGAUAUAAAUGGAUUAAGCAUUCUGAUUAUACUUUCCCACAUAAAUUAAUACCUAAAGAUCCACCCCUUCACUGUACAGCUUUGGCAGUUUUGCGCUGUUCCAAAAAAAAAAAUAGUGCAACUUGUAUACUUAUUGAAGAGAGGAUUAUAACAAUUACAAAUUAGAUGUCAUUGAAGUAGCAUUAUCACUGACACCCAGUAUUGCUUCUUGAAAAAAAAAAAAAAACUUUUUUACUGCAGUGUUAAGGUUGCAAAGUAAAUAAAUAACAACACUAGGAAACUGAAAAUGUAAGGUUCCUACAGCUCCUACAGCAAUGCUGACCUGUCCCCAUGUAUGCAA